AAGUGUAGACCGUGUAUAUGUACUACAAACUUCGGCUCUGCCAACCAGUUGAUUGCUGUUGCCUUUGUUUUAUCGCUCUUCUUUCUCUAGAGCAACAAGUUUUUAUGUGCGUCCCCGCUUUGGUUCUUUCUGCUCAUUUACCUACUUAUGUACAGCAUAACCGGAAGUUUAAAUCUAACUAAGGAAAUAACCGAGGAGUUUCGCACCGAAAGCAAACCAUCCAGUUGCUGGAGUGGAAGCUGAACAGAAGGCGUCGGCGAUGACAUCACCAGAGUUCAAUAACGAGUCUGAGAGACUGAAUCAGCGGGCUAACAACAGAAAAGCACGAGUUCUCGACUUCUCAAUGCGCCGCCUCUGUUCCCAGGGUUAUAUUACUAAAGUUUCAAUAUAUCUA